AAAUUCAGGUCAAUACUAUAUUUCACGUCAGUAGGCACUGUUCGGCACCGUGUAUAGAGUAGCUUGGAAGUUAGAAGUACAAGAUCCCAUAUCAAAUAAAAGUUUUGAGUCAAGUACGUUGAAAUUUGCGUUGAACGUCAUGAUGAAAACCAUAAUCGCUCUCCUUAUGUUGGUUAUAAUGAUCUCUGCAAAUGCCUUAGCAGAAGGCGAUACUACAUCAGACAAAUCGAUUGAUGAUGUUAUUGAUGACGUUACACUUGACAAAAAUAAAGCGAAGGAAUUUAAGAAUCAUCGCAGAUUCUUCUGGCCUAACGUUGACGAAGAAUGUUACAAUGAAUGUUGCACACGGGAAGAAGUUAACGAACACUUUUCCUCAGACUUCGCCAUUGAAUACUGGAAGAAAUAUGUCAAAUGGCGCAAAGACCCUCAGUCACAUUGUUAAGAUGGAUGAACGAAGAAGAUUAAAUGAAUACCCGAUGACGAUUUACGGACUUUCCAUAGGAUACCUGAAUUACUUAACAUUGAAUUGUAUACGUAGUUUUAUGACUAUGAUAAUAUUUUUAGUCAAUAUAUAAUAUAUGCAUGUUGACUAUAGUUGUGUAGUAAUGUACGUUGUUUCUAAGGGCGUGAAGAAAUAAACUCCUAUAGCAUU